CAGCUAUAUUACGCCGAAACACCUGUUCUCAUUCGAUCUCCGAAGUUAAGCAACGUCGAGCCUUGUCAGUACAUAUAGGGGUGAUAGCUUGGAAAUAUCAGGUGUUGUAAG